UACCAGCACCCGGAGUGGUCGGGACGAUUAUUGGGCCUAAAGGCAAUCCGUAGCCGGUCAUGCAAGUCCUCCGUUAAAUCCAACCUGCUUAACAGAUGGGCUGCGGAGGAUAACUACAAGGCUAGGAGGCGGAAGAGGCAAAGCGGGUAACUCGAGUGGGUAGGGGGUAAAAUCCGUCUGAUCCGAUUGAAGACCACCAGUGGCGAAAGGCGGGCAUUGCCCAAUACGCGCUCGACGGUUGAGGGAUGAAAGCUGGGGG
rnacentral:rRNA from 1 species